rnacentral:rRNA from 1 species
UUGAACGCUGGCGGCAGGCCUAACACAUGCAAGUCGAGCGGUAGCACAGAGAGCUUGCUCUCGGGUGACGAGCGGCGGACGGGUGAGUAAUGUCUGGGAAACUGCCUGAUGGAGGGGGAUAACUACUGGAAACGGUAGCUAAUACCGCAUAAUGUCGCAAGACCAAAGUGGGGGACCUUCGGGCCUCAUGCCAUCAGAUGUGCCCAGAUGGGAUUAGCUAGUAGGUGGGGUAACGGCUCACCUAGGCGACGAUCCCUAGCUGGUCUGAGAGGAUGACCAGCCACACUGGAACUGAGACACGGUCCAGACUCCUACGGGAGGCAGCAGUGGGGAAUAUUGCACAAUGGGCGCAAGCCUGAUGCAGCCAUGCCGCGUGUGUGAAGAAGGCCUUCGGGUUGUAAAGCACUUUCAGCGGGGAGGAAGGCGGUGAGGUUAAUAACCUCAUCGAUUGACGUUACCCGCAGAAGAAGCACCGGCUAACUCCGUGCCAGCAGCCGCGGUAAUACGGAGGGUGCAAGCGUUAAUCGGAAUUACUGGGCGUAAAGCGCACGCAGGCGGUCUGUCAAGUCGGAUGUGAAAUCCCCGGGCUCAACCUGGGAACUGCAUUCGAAACUGGCAGGCUAGAGUCUUGUAGAGGGGGGUAGAAUUCCAGGUGUAGCGGUGAAAUGCGUAGAGAUCUGGAGGAAUACCGGUGGCGAAGGCGGCCCCCUGGACAAAGACUGACGCUCAGGUGCGAAAGCGUGGGGAGCAAACAGGAUUAGAUACCCUGGUAGUCCACGCCGUAAACGAUGUCGAUUUGGAGGUCGUGCCCUUGAGGCGUGGCUUCCGGAGCUAACGCGUUAAGUCGACCGCCUGGGGAGUACGGCCGCAAGGUUAAAACUCAAAUGAAUUGACGGGGGCCCGCACAAGCGGUGGAGCAUGUGGUUUAAUUCGAUGCAACGCGAAGAACCUUACCUGGUCUUGACAUCCACAGAACUUUCCAGAGAUGGAUUGGUGCCUUCGGGAACUGUGAGACAGGUGCUGCAUGGCUGUCGUCAGCUCGUGUUGUGAAAUGUUGGGUUAAGUCCCGCAACGAGCGCAACCCUUAUCCUUUGUUGCCAGCGGUUAGGCCGGGAACUCAAAGGAGACUGCCAGUGAUAAACUGGAGGAAGGUGGGGAUGACGUCAAGUCAUCGUGGCCCUUACGACCAGGGCUACACACGUGCUACAAUGGCAUAUACAAAGAGAAGCGACCUCGCGAGAGCAAGCGGACCUCAUAAAGUAUGUCGUAGUCCGGAUUGGAGUCUGCAACUCGACUCCAUGAAGUCGGAAUCGCUAGUAAUCGUAGAUCAGAAUGCUACGGUGAAUACGUUCCCGGGCCUUGUACACACCGCCCGUCACACCAUGGGAGUGGGUUGCAAAAGAAGUAGGUAGCUUAACCUUCGGGAGGGCGCUUACCACUUUGUGAUUCAUGACUGGGGUG